ensembl:scaRNA SCARNA1 Small Cajal body specific RNA 1
AUGCACUAGAUACUAACCUGACUGUCUGCUGCCCAGUAGUUUUUGUACUGGUGCACUUCAGUGGCUGUCAGGUCCAGAAUGGUGCUAUAAAAACAUGAGCCCUGAGAUUUAAGCACUGAGAGGGAAGUCACCUCAGAUGUUAUUACUCAGGGACACACAC